UUCAUUUUUCUGAGUUUAAGAAAAAAAAAUGGGGAAAGGGGGAACUUCUCUUUGGGGCAAACCCAGAAUCGGCCAAGGGUUCCAGCCACCCCCCCCAUCGUGGCGCCACCGUGCCGGCCACCGCCUAGAGGCGAACGGCGGUGGAAGUAGGUACCACUUGCACUGGAGAUGUGACUAGGGGCGGUGGGAUUUGGUGAUUUAGGUUUUAGAUUCUGAAACCCUAAAUUUGGGCUAAUUAGGUUAGAUUGAGGUUAGAAUCUAUUUGGGUUUUGGGGUUAUUUGGUUUAAUUUGGGUAUGGGUCUGGGCCAAACGGGCUUGUACACAAUUCAUAUAGAUUAAGUUCCAUCUAGUGUUGAAAAAUGAAAGCAAACUAUUUAAAAUCAUAAAGGGUAUUUUGUAAAAAUGAAAAUUUGAUUAGCGUGCACCUUCAAGUUCAAAUGUUAUUUUGUUAUUAAUGCUAUCAUAACCCAUCGAGCUGCUCGUUGCAUCAUCAGUAUAAGUGCUGCACAUGUCACCAAGCAAGUAUUCGGACUCUUCUCCCUGUAAUUUACUUU